UCCUUGUAGAACACGUAGGGAAGUGUUUA
rnacentral:piRNA from 1 species